AUCCUACUCCCUCCGUUCGGAAUUACUUGUCUCAAAAAUGGAUGUAUCUAGAACUAAAAUACGUCUAAAUACAUCCAUUUCUGCGACAAGUAAUUCCGAACGGAGGGAGUAUGAG
rnacentral:pre_miRNA from 1 species